GCUAGUGUGGCAGAGCCUGGCUAAUGCAAAAGACCUAAGCUCUUUGAUUCAGGGGUUCAAAUCCCCUCACUAUCU